rnacentral:lncRNA from 1 species
CCCCACCCACAUCCAUCAAUCACCUCCACACAUAUUCAGGCAUUUCUACCCCUUCCACCAUUAGUUCUCCCUCUCCCUCAGUGCACUGAUUUGCCUGCUUGCCCUAAUCCAUCAAUUUGUCUCCCACCAAUUCUAUCCGCCCUCACUAUCCAUCAGUCCUCUUUCCAUUCCAUUAAUCCUAUCAUUCCUCCAUUCCAUUAGUCUCUCUCUUUGUCCCCAUCUAUAAAUCCUCCAUUCCCAGAUGCUCAGUCCUCCCCCAGGAUUACGAUAUUGAUAUCCAGAAGAAAAGAAAAAAAACAGCCUUGCAGUUGUAUUUCCACAGGGAAACCAUAACAUUUGGAGUACAAGUGUUAUCACCAGUCAUAAGUCUUCCUCAGAAGCCAGGUCAGUGCUGCUGACCAAUAUGAAAAUCAACCCCCAUGUGUUCCAGUGAGGAUCUAUAAAGCUCCUAGGCUCAAGACACGGGCACUUUUGCAGCCUUCUGCCACAGGAAUAAAGAGACAAAGCUUGGGCUAGUGGACUGUUAC